UUCAACACCUUUCUCUCUCUAGUUUCUGAAAAGUUGAUAGUUUCUCUCUAAUUCUCAACAAAAAAAAACGACGUUCAAUGUCUUCUCUUCCUCAAUUUUCUUCUAAUUCUAUCAAAUCUAUCCGUAAAUUAGGAUAUUUGAAGGCCACAUAUAUAAUGUCGUUAAUUUAUUGCAAAAAUCAUUCACGACAAUCAAUUCUAAAUCGAAAUUGCAAAUACGAGCUCAAAGUCAGAAAUGAUGAAGAACAACGAACAACUUGAGAGCCAUUCUAGUACCAUCACAAAUGUGCCAACUACUCUUACAAUAGUAGUUCUUUCUUCUAAAGUAGCACCUUUGCUCACUCCCGGAGGAACAAAAGAAUGACUUCCAAUAUGCCCUAAUGAGUUGAAACCAGCUAUAGGGAUGAAGUUUAAUAAUCUUGAAGAGGGCCUUGAAUUUUAUAAAAGUUACGCAUUUGCUGCUGGAUUCAACACAAGAAAGUCUACAACUAAAAGACAAAGAAGAAGCAAAGAAUUGAAAUCACAGUAUAUCUUAUGCAAUAAGGAUACAAAGAGAAAAGAAAGGCUACUAUUGAAAAAGAUUUAAAUAACAAGGAAGGAGAAAGCAAUGAAGAAAAAGCUUCAAUCAAAAGGAAGAGACUCGUUACUCGUGUUGGGUGCAAGGCACACAUUGUCAUAAAGCAUUGGGAUGAUAACAAAUUCAUAGUGUCACAAUUUCAUGAGGGACAUACUCAUACACUUUAUACACCUAGUUGCAAUCUCUUCCAAAAAGAAAGAACGAAAAUGAACAUAUUGCACAAAAAAAUAAUUGUGAAUAAUUCUAAGGUGAAUAUUGGUCCCAUGACAACUUUUCGAAUGAUGAAGGAAAUUGUUGGAGGAUAUGAUAACAUUGGUGCAUCUAAGCAAGAUUUCAAAAACUUUCAUAGAGAUUUAAAAGCAUACAUUCAAGGAAGCGAUGCUCAAAUGUUCGUGGAUAACUUUACCAACAAAAAGCUAAUGUGGAGCGCUUUUUUCUUUGAUUUUGAGAUGAAUGAAGAUUAUUGCCUUUGUAGAGCAUUUUGGGCAGAACCCAUUUGUAAAAAGAGUUAUGCUCUAUUUGGUGAUAUGGUAUCUUUUGAUACCACAUACCAAACCAAUAGGUAAUUCAUAAU